rnacentral:rRNA from 1 species
GUGCACCAGUCGCGAAUCCUCCGCAAUGCGCGAAAGCGCGACGGGGCCACCCCGAGUGCCGCCCGCUGAGGGCGGCUUUUCCCCGGUGUAGACAGCCGGGGGAAUAAGGGGAGGGCAAGUCUGGUGUCAGCCGCCGCGGUAAUACCAGCUCCCCGAGUGGUGGGGACGAUUAUUGGGCCUAAAGCGUCCGUAGCCGGCCCGGCAAGUCUCCCGUUAAAUCCAGCGAUCUAAUCGCUGGACUGCGGGAGAUACUGUCGGGCUAGGGGGGCGGGAGAGGCCGGCGGUAUUCCCCGGGGUAGGGGUGAAAUCCUAUAAUCCCGGGAGGACCACCAGUGGCGAAGGCUGCCGGCUGGAACGCGCCCGACGGUGAGGGACGAAAGCCGGGGGAGCGAACCGGAUUAGAUACCCG